rnacentral:rRNA from 1 species
AACGAACGCUGGCGGCAGGCUUAACACAUGCCAGUCGAGCGCCUCGCCAGAGGAGCGGCAGCCGGGUGAGUAACGCGUGGGAACGUACCCUUAUCUUCGGAAUAGCUCUGGGAAACUGGAAGUAAUACCGAAUGUGCCCUUAGGGGGAAAGAUUUAUCGGCUAAGGAUCGGCCCGCGUUGGAUUAGCUAGUUGGUGGGGUAAAGGCCUACCAAGGCGACGAUCCAUAGCUGGUCUGAGAGGAUGAUCAGCCACAGUGGGACUGAGACACGGCCCAAACUCCUACGGGAGGCAGCAGUGGGGAAUAUUGGACAAUGGGCGCAAGCCUGAUCCAGCCAUGCCGCGUGAGUGAUGAAGGCCUUAGGGUUGUAAAGCUCUUUCACCGGAGAAGAUAAUGACGGUAUCCGGAGAAGAAGCCCCGGCUAACUUCGUG